ensembl:lncRNA
AGUUAGCCAUGUGGACAAACCUAAGGAAGCCUCUCCUAGGGAAACCUAGGCAGGAGAUGAGCCUUGUCUCUUCAGGAAAAGAUUAAAAGUUAUUAAAUUUGUGAGUCAGCAUCAUGAAAAUUGGGAUAAUAUGAAAAGGUUAUUGGCACGCAGUUUCCACAGUAUUAUUAGAAGUCAACACUGAGUCAUAGCCUCCCAGAUAUGAAGAAAGAAAAGGCACAGUGCCCUGCAUUAUUGGGACAUUUUAUGCAAAUAGCAGUUAACCGUGUGAAACUGCUCCAUCAGUCUCUGUAAGCCAGGCAAAGGCCCCUUAGAAGGAUUUUCAGCCCACUGCUGAGCCAGAAGCUUGGACGCACGAUGUGUCCACUCCCAGGUGAAAAUGGGCACGCUUUGAACAGGCUGAGCUCUCAGUGGUGGCCCAGGUAAGGGAAGAUUCUACCAACAGCAGAAGAGGAACUCUUCCCUUCCUUCUCCAUUCCUGAGGCUGAAAAUCAUGUCAGAUCCCAGAUGGAAAAUGCAAAACAUCAUCCAUGAAGUCUUCAGGAAAAGAACUCAUGGAUCUCCUUUUAAUUGUGAAGAGGUUCCCAGACAUUUCUUCAUGGCUUACCUGCGUAGUCCAAGUCAUAGAUCAAGAAUCUACAGGAUUUAAAUGGCAAAUGAAGGAACAAGUGCAUAUUGGCCGCAUAAUUAACAGUCACAUGUCUUGCCUGAUUGAGACAUCAUCACUGAAUGCAGCUCCUCAAAGGGACAGCUAGGAAAUUUUAAAGGUGACCUAAAAAUGGAAUUUGAAUAUAAGAGCGGAAACAUUCUUGCUAGCAAUAUGUAAGUAGAAGGUAAACGUAUUUUUGGCUGUGCUGCACAAAGGAAAUCGAUGUUCUCUAUUAGCUAAAUUUGAGGUCAUUUGGUUUGCUUUCCCAGCCCCUGAGAAACCACAGUUCUUUUGGAGUGAGUCACAGCCCUCUCACCUUCCUUCCCUCCUCCUUCCCCUGCUCACUCCACCUCCAGCCUACAUCCUCCUGACAGACACCCAAAGCUUGGCAGGAGCCACUCUUGGCUCUCACGUAUCUUCCCGGGGGAACAGGACAGGGCAGUGGUAGUCUGACUCCCUCACAGCGCCCUAUGCAAUCACAGCCUCUUACAGGUAUCAGAGGACACCCGGCUCUGGUAUAAAGGGGGGGACAUGGACACAAUGACACUCCAUUAAACACCUGGCACUACCGUCACCUCCCCUUCCUCCCCGAAAGACACAGGCUAAGCCUUCAGGGGAUAAAAAAGGGUCACAGAAGCGUGGCCUGCUGGAGAGAAGGGUAAGUAUGAUAGGGUGUUAGGUAAGGUGGAGAAGUCUAGAAGAGGGUUUAUUGAUCAUUUGAUUUGAUGGAUACAGGUCUCCAGACUUGUUUGUAUACUUCUUUCAAGGUGCCCCAGCUCCUUUCCUCCCUACUGUUCUGUCUGAUUGCCCCAUCCUACCCUGCACACCCUUUCCAAAGAAAACUUUGGGAGGAAAGAUGAAGAUGGUCACAGACUUAUACCCAUGAGUUCUCUCCCCAAAAAGUGAACAUGCACACAUUUGCAAAAAAUUUCAGUUUUUAACUCCCCAAAUCCUCUCCAUAGUUCACGUGUCCAAGUCGGAGAUCAGUGUGCACUCAGUGGUCAGUGCCAGGAUACUCCCUGGUAUAGUGCUGCCUUGGAAUUCUGAACUGUCCUUCUUGCACACCUAAGAACCAACUGCUUGUGCUGCUUAGCGACUUUGCCCUUUAUAAACCACUUCCACCUACAUCACUCCUUUCAGAUCCUCUAGAACUUGGUGGUGUUGGUUGUCCUGUUUAUAGAUGAGACUCAGAAAUGUUAAGGCAUCACACCUAAUAUCGAUCCUCUAGUGAGAACGGAGCUCAAACUUCAACUGCAUGAGUUGACCCCAGAGCCUGCUUGGUCCACCUUUCCUUGCAGCUUUCUUUUAGAAUCUUUUAUGUUUAAUCCCUCAUGACUGGACACUUAAAACAUGGUUCUGAUCCAGAUGCUUGCUGAAGAAGUUGGGAACCUGGGAAGUUCCACCUUCAAGAUGAAAAAUGCAUUUUUUUUUAAUUCAUGGCAUUCUUUGGCAUUUUAUGGCAUGAACAUAUACAUUUUAGGUGUAUACACCCU